AAAAUGAUAACAAUUAACAAAAAUAUGAAGUAAAAUAUUUACGAGAGAAUUAACGAUCGAACUAAUGUAUUUAAUCGAACAAUAAAUUCAUGUUUAUAAGUCUUAUAAAGUAUAAAAAUAAUGUAUCUACUUAACAGUCGAAAUAUUACGUUUAUGAAUUGGAAGCAAAAAAUGCGGACUAUUAUUUCGAAUUUUGGAUAAGAACCCAGUUUGUUGCAAUCUUUGGAAUUUGAAAUAAAAUUGAAUCAUGAUGAGCACGCUGACUGGGGAUACUUCA